UUGUAAUUUGGAGAGGAUGUUUCUGGUGAGGUGCUAUCUGAGUUCCUUGGAACAGGACGCCAUAGAGGGUGAGAGCCCCGUACAGGUAGUUACCGCAACCUUUAUGAAACUCCUUCAACGAGUCGAGUAGUUUGGGAAUGCUGCUCAAAAUGGGAGGUAAAUUUCUUCUAAAGCUAAAUAUUGGCCAGAGACCGAUAGCGCACAAGUAGAGUGAUCGAAAGAUGAAAAGCACUUUGAAAAGAGGGUUAAAUAGUACGUGAAAUUGUUGAAAGGGAACCGCCUAUGACCAGACUUGUGUUCUGUAUACCAUCCGACGUUCUCGUUGGUGCACUGUACAGUUUGCAGGCCAGCAUCGGUUUUCUUAGAGGCAUAAAGGUUGAAGGAAUGUAGCUCUUUCGGGAGUGUUAUAGCCUACUUCGUCAUACCUCUGAGGGGACCGAGGACCGCGCUUCGGCAAGGAUGCUGGCGUAAUGGUCAUCGGCGACCCGUCUUGAAACACGGACCAAGGAGUCAAGCAUUGGGGCGAGUGUUUGGGUGUUAAACCCGCACGCGUAAUGAAAGUAAACGUAGGUGAGAGCCUUCGGGCGCAUCAUCGACCGAUCCUGAAGUUUACGGACGGAUUUGAGUAAGAGCCUUACCGCUUGGACCCGAAAGAUGGUGAACUAUGCCUGUAUAGGGUGAAGCCAGAGGAAACUCUGGUGGA
rnacentral:rRNA from 1 species